UUAUAAUUCUAAAUAUCAAUUUUGAAGUUGUUAUAUCUUACUCCUUCUGUACCAAUAUACUCCUAAUUUAACUGGAAUUAGGAGUUGAGGGUGGAGAUGAAACAGGUACCCGGGCUCAAGGUUUUUUAACUAAAAAUGACAUGUUCAUAGUUUAAAAGACCAUAGCAGCAAAUCAACGAUACUUGACACUUUAUUACUUCUCAAAUAGUUUAAUAUUCAAAAGAAGAUACCCAAGGUUAAAGAUUUCCAAGAAAAAAAUUUGAUUGUGUUUUGAAAAGUUGAAGGACAAUUCAUAUUAUUCUUUGGAGUCUAAUUGUGAACAUUGUUUUUGAUCAUAUCAUCGGAGGAGUGAUAAAAUGAUGAUUUGUGUCCUAAAGUAGAAUGCCGUUUCUGAAAAAUGAAUUUCUCUCUGACUUUUAUGGUGUGAAAACCUUCCGUUCUUGAUUGUGCUUGCUAUCUCUAGAAGAAUAUGUGACUGUACAGAGGACAAUGAAGAAUUGAUAAGUAGAAUGUGGAAGUGCAUAAGUGGUGCAAGGAAGUAAGAUGUGGAGGUGUAGUUAGAAGUUUGGGGGGAAGAGCUCUUUGUGUAGUUACAGACUUAAAGCAGAUGAACAACAACAACAAGGGUGAUGAACGACGAGGGUUAUGACACCAAAUUCGUAAAUCACUUAAAGUGGUUGGCACAUGCUGUGAAUGGCUAACUUACUUUCAAACAUUAUAGCUUAAUUAUAACAGUGCAAGUUAGCAGAGAUCUUUAGAUAAACAUUUUUAGUAUUCGGACUUCGUAGGGAUGAUUUUCAGUUAAUGGUCUUACACGGGACCUAUAAGAAAAUGAUCAAGCGGGUCUUCUGGUGAAGGUUCUACUUCUUUGACUAACUGCUUUUUUGAUUUGGUUCAUUGUGCCCCUGUUUUGAUCAUCUAUUGAUAAGUAACCCUAUGUGGAGAACUCCAACCUUUUGAUUUACUUCUUUAUAUUUUGCUUUAAUUGUUUACCAAUAAUGACUGAUGCAGAAUACAAAGGCAUUUUGUCAGUAAGAAGGAUUGUUAUGCUGAUUUGGAAGUUUUUGAUCGCCUCAAUGUUCUAGAUUUACAGGUAUAGAUGUGUCAUUUUCUUUUUAAGUUGCUUCAAACAAUUUUUGCUUUAACCACAUGGGAUCAUUUAUCGAGUAUUAAACAACUCUAGAGAUGAAUAUGAAGAUCACUAUUUACUCAUUUUAAACCUCUUAUUUAAUGGAGCAAAUACUGGAGGUAGUAUACGAAUCCUAAUUGUUCCAAAAUACACCGCAUUCUGCUAUCUUACUCUGUCGGUAUUAUAUAAGUACUGUUAAUUCCCCUUCACAAUAUUUUUUUCGCAUGACCUAUUCUUUAUAUAGUUUCUGCAAUUUUUUGUGUUUCAUGGAUACACAAUGCAGAUAAGGAGACGGCUAAGACAAGAAGCAAAAAGAUACAGUAGCUAAUAUAUCCAAAACAUACUUUGGCAUCAAUAUAUCUGCAAAUAUGUAUAUUUGUGUGGUAUCUUCAACAUCUCUGUAAAUAUGAUACCUGAUGCAACUUUUAUUGAAUAACUGUUACUCUAUACGUUCUUUCUAUUAUGGCAUGUGCCACACAUUAACCAUCUCAUUGCUUCAAUCCAAUUAGCUUUAUGUUUCUC